rnacentral:rRNA from 1 species
AGAGUUUGAUCAUGGCUCAGAACAAACGCUGGCGGCGUGCCUAACACAUGCAAGUCGUACGAGAAAGUCCGCUUCGGUGGAUGAGUAAAGUGGCGCACGGGUGAGUAACGCGUGGAUAAUCUACCCUUUAGUCUGGAAUAACUUAUCGAAAGGUGAACUAAUACCGGAUAAUAUCCCGAUUUCUUCGGCGAUCGGGAUCAAAGAAGGCCUCUGCUUGCAAGCUUUCACUGAAGGAUGAGUCCGCGUACCAUUAGCUAGUUGGCAGGGUAAUGGCCUACCAAGGUUAUGAUGGUUAGCUGGUCUGAGAGGAUGAUCAGCCACACUGGAACUGAAACACGGUCCAGACUCCUACGGGAGGCAGCAGUGAGGAAUAUUGCGCAAUGGGGGCAACCCUGACGCAGCAACGCCGCGUGAGUGAGGAAGGUUUUCGGAUUGUAAAGCUCUGUCGAGCGGAAAGAAGUGCAUGGUGGUUAAUAUCCAUCAUGCUUGACGGUACCGCUAAAGGAAGCACCGGCUAACUCCGUGCCAGCAGCCGCGGUAAUACGGGGGGUGCAAGCGUUGUUCGGAAUCAUUGGGCGUAAAGCGCGUGUAGGCGGCUGGACAAGUCAGAUGUGAAAGCCCUGGGCUUAACCCAGGAAGUGCAUUUGAAACUGUUCAGCUAGAGUAAGGGAGAGGAAAGUGGAAUUCCUGGUGUAGAGGUGAAAUUCGUAGAUAUCAGGAGGAACACCGGUGGCGAAGGCGACUUUCUGGCCCUAUACUGACGCUGAGACGCGAAAGCGUGGGUAGCAAACAGGAUUAGAUACCCUGGUAGUCCACGCUGUAAACGAUGUUCACUAGGUGUUGGGGGUAUUGACCCUUCCAGUGCCGCAGCUAACGCAUUAGGUGAACCGCCUGGGGGAGUACGGUCGCAAGAUUAAAACUCAAGGAAUUGACGG